GAGUGUGACAGCUCUUUUAGAAUUUAUCUAACAGGGUUUCCAGUUUUCACUGUAUACCAUCCUUG
ensembl:snRNA U7 U7 small nuclear RNA